rnacentral:rRNA from 1 species
GACGAACGCUGGCGGCGUGCCUAACACAUGCAAGUCAGGGAGAAAGAGGUAGCAAUAUCUCGAGUAAACCGGCGAACGGGUGAGUAACACGUAGGUAACCUGCCCUCGAGUUGGGAGUAACUUCGAGAAAUCGAGGCUAAUACCGGAUAAUGCAACGAACCCGCAUGGGUUUGUUGUUAAAGUUCCGCGCAAGCGGAACGCUUGAGGAUGGACCUGCGGCCGAUUAGCUAGUUGGCGGAGUAACAGCCCACCAAGGCGACGAUCGGUAGCCGACCUGAGAGGGUGACCGGCCACACUGGGACUGAGAUACGGCCCAGACUCCUACGGGAGGCAGCAGUGAGGAAUAUUGGUCAAUGGGGGCAACCCUGAUCCAGCCAUGCCGCGUGUGUGAAGAAGGCCUGGUGUAAG